rnacentral:tRNA from 1 species
GCCUUCGUGGUGUAAUUGGUAGCAUAUUCGACGCGUAUUCGAAAGGUCCGUAGUUCGAGUCCCGGCGAGGGCA